UACGUAGGACCCAAGCGUUAUCCGGAAUCACUGGGCGUAAAGCGUACGUAGGCGGCGCGUUAAGUGCAAUGCGAAAUCCGACGGCUCAACCGUUUGGACUGUAUUGCAUACUGGCGCGCUUGAGGAUGGCAGAGGCAAGUGGAAUUGGUAGUGUAGCAGUGAAAUGCGUAGAUAUUACCAGGAACACCAAUGGCGAAGGCAGCUUGCUGGGCCAUUUCUGACGCUGAGGUACGAAAGCGUGGGGAGCGAACAGG
rnacentral:rRNA from 1 species